UACGAAGGGGGCGAGCGUUGUUCGGAAUUACUGGGCGUAAAGGGCGCGUAGGCGGCGACUCAAGUUAGAUGUGAAAUCCCUCGGCUUAACCGGGGAACUGCGUCUGAUACUGGAUGGCUUGAGUUUGGGAGAGGGAUGCGGAAUUCCAGGUGUAGCGGUGAAAUGCGUAGAUAUCUGGAGGAACACGGUGGCGAAGGCGGCAUCCUGGACCAACACUGACACUGAGGAGCGAAAGCCAGGGGAGCAAACAGG
rnacentral:rRNA from 1 species